AUGAACGCUGGCGGCGUGCCUAAUACAUGCCGGUCGAGCGAACGGACGAGAAGCUUGCUUCUCUGAUGUUAGCGGCGGACGGGUGAGUAACACGUGGAUAACCUACCUAUAAGACUGGGAUAACUUCGGGAAACCGGAGCUAAUACCGGAUAAUAUUUUGAACCGCAUGGUUCAAAAGUGAAAGACGGUCUUGCUGUCACUUAUAGAUGGAUCCGCGCUGCAUUAGCUAGUUGGUAAGGUAACGGCUUACCAAGGCAACGAUGCAUAGCCGACCUGAGAGGGUGAUCGGCCACACUGGAACUGAGACACGGUCCAGACUCCUACGGGAGGCAGCAGUAGGGAAUCUUCCGCAAUGGGUGAAAGCCUGACGGAGCAACGCCGCGUGAGUGAUGAAGGUCUUCGGAUCGUAAAACUCUGUUAUUAGGGAAGAACAUAUGUGUAAGUAACUGUGCACAUCUUGACGGUACCUAAUCAGAAAGCCACGGCUAACUACGUG
rnacentral:rRNA from 1 species